rnacentral:pre_miRNA from 1 species
AUUCUACUCCCUCCAUUGCACAAUACAUGCCUUCUAUUUGUCAAAAUAUAUAUGUAUCUAGACAUGUUUUAGUAUAUAGGUACAUCCAUUUUUGGACAAAUGGAAGUCAAGUAUUUUGGAACGAAGGGAGUACACA